GAUGAACGCUAGCGGCAGGCUUAACACAUGCAAGUCGAGGGGCAGCGCGGGAUAGCAAUAUCCUGGCGGCGACCGGCGGAAGGGUGCGUAACGCGUGAGCGACAUGCCCGUUGCCCGGGGACAACCUGUGGAAACGCCGACUAAUCCCCGAUGGGAUAUUGUGCCGCAUGGCACGAUAUUGAAAGUUACGGCGGCGACCGAUUGGCUCGCGUCCGAUUAGCUUGUUGGCGGGGUAACGGCCCACCAAGGAUCCGAUCGGUAGGGGUUCUGAGAGGAAGGCCCCCCACAAUGGGACUGAGACACGGCCCAUACUCGGACGGGAGGCAGAAGUGAGGAAUAGUGGUCAAUGGGAGGAAGCCUGAGCCAGCCAUGCCGCGUGCGGGAAGGAGGCCCUAUGGGCUGUGAACCGCUUUUGCCUGGGGGCAAUAAGGGGGUAGCGCACGUCCGAUGAGAGUACCAGGCGAAUAAGCAUCGGCUAACUCCGUG
rnacentral:rRNA from 1 species